rnacentral:lncRNA from 1 species
CCCGCACUUCCACCCCUACAACCUACGUCCGAGACCUGGUAGAACCCUAGCCUCUACCAAUUGUUGACAAACUCAAAGGGAAAACUGGCAUCAAAUCAACAUAUAGUAUCAAAGUGAAGGCACAAGAUGAGAAAAUAAACCCGAAAUGUAACAGGCGAGGCUAAAAUGCCCUUUAUUUUUCCAAAAAAUCAUUAAGAUUUCAAUUCUUAGAAGCUACAUAGAUACGUAUGUGAUUAUACCAAUCCCCAGGAUUAGACGUCAUCGUGGUAUCGUGGUGUGAAGAUGGAAGGAAAUAACACCGUGGUAGAUUGUAACUUAUACAACACGAGACCAAAGAGCAUCACAUACAUGGCUGCCAUUAAGAACCUUCACCGGAGCAGCAUGUACUAGUUGGUCGUCCCAGGCACAAGUCUGAAUUCCCAUUGCCUCCCAAUCCGAUUACGUGCUGCUAAUUAAGGGGUUAUGGUCCAUUUAUUUAUAGCUAACUAUUCAUUUAGAUAGUUACUUGCCUUCUCACCCUCUUGCGACGGGGGCUCAGGUCCUAGUUUGCUUUUAUAGAUGGAGCGAGCCAGUCAACAUGAGGCAUGGUGUGUGUCUUUGCUCACAAUGCAAUCAAUAUCAAGGGCAUCGUAAAGCUUCAUUGAUACAUGGGGCACAUCCAUUCAUUGCAUUGAGGAUUCCUCCCUGUCUUAAUGGGAGAGAUAUUUGACUGUUCAUGGUUCUUUAGUGUUUUUCGUAAUGUGGAUGGUUGAUGUAAUUAAUAGAAAGCGUAUUUCCUUCAUAAAUCUGGGAGAUGAUUUGUUUGUUGAUAUAGCAGAAAUUGACGUUUGAUGCCUGAUUUCUAAGAUAUUUGCUAUUCUUGGUCGACCGAGAUGAGGCUGUGUGUACACCCUACUGUGCUUAAUUGUGUUGUCGCGUAUUUGCCUUUUCUAUCAGAUAUAUGCUUGCUCCUUUGUUUUAUUGAUUCAUUUGAUGGUUUGUCUUCACUACUGCAUAUCAUUGUGCUUGUGUUUUUCAUAAGUCAUUAAUGAUGGUGGCAACUAAAGUCAAUAUCUUU